CUACGGGACGCUGCAGUGGGGAAUAUUGCACAAUGGGCGCAAGCCUGAUGCAGCCAUGCCGCGUGUAUGAAGAAGGCCUUCGGGUUGUAAAGUACUUUCAGCGGGGAGGAAGGGAGUAAAGUUAAUACCUUUGCUCAUUGACGUUACCCGCAGAAGAAGCACCGGCUAACUCCGUGCCAGCAGCCGCGGUAAUACGGAGGGUGCAAGCGUUAAUCGGAAUUACUGGGCGUAAAGCGCACGCAGGCGGUUUGUUAAGUCAGAUGUGAAAUCCCCGGGCUCAACCUGGGAACUGCAUCUGAUAAUGGCAAGCUUGAGUCUCGUAGAGGGGGGUAGAAUUCCAGGUGUAGCGGUGAAAUGCGUAGAGAUCUGGAGGAAUACCGGUGGCGAAGGCGGCCCCCUGGACGAAGACUGACGCUCAGGUGCGAAAGCGUGGGGAGCAAACAGGAUUAGAUACCCGAGUAGUC
rnacentral:rRNA from 1 species